rnacentral:rRNA from 1 species
UGGGGAAUAUUGCACAAUGGGGGAAGACCCUGAUGCAGCGACGCCGCGUGAAGGAAGAAGUAUUUCGGUAUGUAAACUUCUAUCAGCAGGGAAGAAAAUGACGGUACCUGACUAAGAAGCCCCGGCUAACUACGUGCCAGCAGCCGCGGUAAUACGUAGGGGGCGAAGCGUUAUCCGGAUUUACUGGGUGUAAAGGGAGCGUAGGCGGCGAUGCAAGUCAGAAGUGAAAGCCCGGGGCUCAACUUCUGGAUUGCAUUGGAAACUGUCAGGCUGGAGUGCCGGAGAGGUAAGCGGAAUUCCUAGUGUAGCGGUGAAAUGCGUAGAUAUUAGGAGGAACACCAGUGGCGAAGGCGGAUUACUGGACGGUAACUGACGUUGAGGCUCGAAAGCGUGGGGAGCAAACAGGAUUAGAUACC